UGGGAAGUAUUGCACAAUGGGCGCAAGCCUGAUGCAGCAACGCCGCGUGAAGGAAGACGGUUUUCGGAUUGUAAACUUCUGUUCUUAGUGAAGAAGAAUGACGGUAGCUAAGGAGCAAGCCACGGCUAACUACGUGCCAGCAGCCGCGGUAAUACGUAGGUGGCAAGCGUUGUCCGGAAUUACUGGGUGUAAAGGGAGCGCAGGCGGGGAAGCAAAGUCAGUUGUGAAAUCCAUGGGCUUAACCCGUGAACUGCAGUUGAAACUGUUCUUCUUGAGUGAAGUAGAGGUUGGCGGAAUUCCGAGUGUAGCGGUGAAAUGCGUAGAUAUUCGGAGGAACACCGGUGGCGAAGGCGGCCAACUGGGCUUUUACUGACGCUGAGGCUCGAAAGUGUGGGGAGCAAACAGGAUUAGAUACC
rnacentral:rRNA from 1 species